AUUUUCCUGAUGUUAGGAUGCAUCUGCAAAAAAUAUUGUAUUCCUUUAUGGUUGUGAGUUUCAAUUUUUAUUUUGCCCAAUGUAUCGGUAUACAGGUAUAUAUCGGUAUAUAUUAUACAGGAUAUGUUAAAAUUUUUUUAUUUUAAUCAUACAUCAAUCUCCCCAGGCGUCAAUAUAUCUGUUGUGUUAUUUUGUGUCUGUAGACUCCAGUCAACAAUAUAAGAAGUGAUCAUCGUCUCUUUCAAUAUUUUUUUGUUGUGGUCGGUCAUAUAGCUGAUACUACAUUUUAAACUUUUGAAAAGGUUUAUAGCGAAAAAACGACGUAUAAAUACAAUUUAGCCACUCUUUUCCGAAUUUGGGAUGAGAAAAGGUGAUGAUAGAUUGGUUAUUAAAUUAGAAAGUGCGUACAAAUAAAUAAUGAUUGACCAAAUCUUAAAAUUGGUCUUCCUUCGCAAAGCCACUACAAUAUCUUUUUAAGAUAUCAUCUUCCUAGUAUAUCUUGGCCAAUAGUGUGCUUUAAAUUUUUUAUUAUUUCUGUUUUUUUUCCUUAUGUUAGGAUGCAUCUGUGUAAGAUAUUUUAUUCCUAUAUUGUUGUGAGUUUUAUUUUUUAAUUUUGUCGAAUAUAUCGAAGUAUAGAAAGCCUUUAAUAUAUUUCAUCGUAAUGAUGUUAUAUCAACCUAGUGGCUAUAUUCCGAAAUCUUCGUUACUCUGCUACGUCUAUGUUCUGAAAGUACUCACCACAUUAAUUUUAAUCACUGAUUGUCCUUCGGUGCAAUAAACCCUUAAUUAGUAUAAUUUAAAUAUAUUGUUUACUUAUUCUUUUGAUGUGAAUAUUUUUUAUCGGGCUCACUUGACAAUGUUUAUUUUAUAUCUUUUUAUCUGUUAAACAAUUUUUUUAAUGGUUAAUCAUCAGGGUACUGAACGCAAUGUAGCAAUCUUGAACAUAAUACGUACAAAACUAGAAACUAAAGAAAUAAGAAACUAAAUAAAAAAGUUAGCCCUUUUUUAAAACAAAAUGUUUAUAAUGUACACCUCACAAAGGACAAGAGAAUACUUUUGGCUAAGACAUGCGUAACCGCCAAAGAGAAUAAAUAUAAAUUUUUAUGGUUAUAUAACGCAGAAUUUCUUUCAAUAAUAUGCGAAAAUGCAAAAUUUAUGCACAUCAGAGUCAUAAGCGACCUAGAAAAAAUGUAAGUUGCUAAGUUUCGUUUUUAAUUUUCACUACAAAUGUCUCACUUUUUAUUUUUAUUCUUUACUUAUAAAUCUAUUAAUUAAAAGAAAUAACACUUAAAUGAUAAACUUAAUAAUGCUCUUCUUACCAUUAAAAAUUACUAAAUAGUAGUCUCAAAUAAUAAUGUUUUUUGAAUUGAUGGUAUUAUAAUUUUCAUUAAAAAUGAAAUAAACCAAAUAGGCACUGAAAUAUAACAGACACAAAUUGCUUCCUAGCUCUAAUAAUAUAUUAUGAUAAAGUAAAUUAUUUAAUUAUAUCUAUAUGCUGAUCACCAGUGGUAUUUUCUUUUUUUCGUCCUUUCAUUUCGUUUUCAUCACUACGAAACUCUCUGUAUAUUUUUACACAUCUUAAAAGACAGGAAUACGCCUAUAUUUACACAUUUUUUGAUAGAAAUUUAUUAAUGAACAAAAAAAAAAUCAUCUUUUAAGUAAUACAUAUUAAACUUUGGCCGAUGGGCGCUUUAGGCUACGGCCUGUUCAGUCUAUUAUUGAUUAAUCAGGCUUCGCACCGCACGUUACAGUUUUACCUACUGCGCCCACGCGAACCGUCAAUAUACAUUGAUUAGUAGGUAUUUCGAUUUUUAUUGUUAUGUUGUAAUCUAUACAUACAAAUUACUCAGGUCCUCUACGCGUGCAUUAUUGGUACAAUAGUUAAAUAAAAUGAUACGUGCGGCUUGUGCACAUAACCUAAUAUACCACGUGCAAUAUGAAUACAUUGUAUAUACACACUAGAUCGAUUACGAUAUAGGUUUAGUUUAUUCGUAUCUUUUGAAAAAUACUCAGUCACAAAUGUGAACGCAAUUAAUAAAUAAUGGUAGAGAACGAUUUCACGUAAUAUCAAUAUUAUUAUCGAUGUCUGUCGGAAAAUGAUUAGAUUAUAAUUUUAUAUAUAAGACUAUAAGACGCGAGGAAAAAAAGUUUACCCUGUAUGCGAAUAAGACGAUUAAUGGAGGAAUUAUUCUAUUAUAGAUACAGUACUUAAAGAAAAAUGCAUUUUUAUGGUCAGGAUUAAUAACUUCGACUUGUUGGGAAAUUACAAUUACAAGAAUAACUAUUAGAUUGUAACACUGACUAAAAAAAAUGUAUAUGCAUAUAUUGUGUGUAACAUUGUUUCAAAAUGUAUAUGCACAUGGAUUUAAAAAAAUAAAAUAUUACUAUCAAUUAUAUAGUUAGUUAUCUAUAUUACAAUGUAUCGAUUUAUUACAUUAAAAAACUAGCAUUUAAUAACUUUUUUAUUAUAUUCUUAUAUGGUAUAUAACCAAGUAAUCAUUGUAUUUUAAAACAAAUUAUUAUAUGUUCAAUACCUUUAUUAUGUAUUAAUCGCAUUAAAUUAUGUAAUUAAAAUAUACAAAACUAAUAUUGUAAUAGAUAAUAAAUAAUAAAAAAAAAAAAAAAUGUACUUUAAUAUCAAUAUAACUUUGUAUCAAUUACUUCGAAUUUGAAUGUAUGCAAAAAAAAAUAUUACAAUAUGUUACUGAAUACAUCUAUAAAGUUUAAAUAAACUAACUUUAUUAAAAACUGACUAUCUCGAAAAGCCAAAAA
rnacentral:lncRNA from 1 species